rnacentral:lncRNA from 1 species
GACUUUCUUCGGUUUCCGCAACUGUAACCAUUUGUCACUCCAAUUACUUCAUCCAAAAACCUCUUUUUUUUUCUCAAAAAAAAGUCAAGGAUAAGCUUGCAUUCUAGAAGCGGUAGCUUCCCACCUCCUUCAUUCCUACUGCCUAAUUCGCUUCAGUGCAAAGUUCCCCUCCCUUUUCUAAACUUGAUUGGUCUGCCUCAGAAAAUGCAUAAAGUAGAGCUGCCCGCUAUUUGGCUGACCCUCUUAUUCCCAUUCGGGUUGGGUUGACCCAAAAGUAAAGUAAGAACGAAUGGAACCACUGGAGAGUCGCCUGCAGUUCACACUUGGGUAAAGACAACUUACUUUGAAAGCGGAACACGAACCGAUUUCUGCUAUUCUGUGUUCUUAUUUUUCAUAGCGAAAUCAAGGUUUAUGAGAAAGUAAGCGAAGUUUCUAUGGUGUUCUAACUUUGCGUAGUCCCGGUCCACAGUGGAGGGCUCCGUCCCUUAGCCUAUUCUAUAUCUAUAGUUGACGCAACUCCGUACCGAUGCCUUACUAGCACUUUAUUUAAUUAAUUAACGGCUAAGCGAUUUCAUAACCUGAGCAUUCCUUAGCCAACUGAUCUUACGAAGUAAGCUCAGCCUCCCUUUCUUUAUAGUUUGACUAAGUGACUUCGUAACCUUAACGUACUUUCUUUCUUACUUUAACAUAGGCCUUCGCCACUUCAAACGGGCACUUCACCCAUAUUUUUUUAGAAAGAACGGGGCCUUACUUAUUCUGUCAGGGGAUGAAAGACAAAGAAAGGGAUCAGGGGGCUUUAUGAUCGGUGAAAGGGAAGGGGCGUGGUUGGUGUGUUACUGGGUCGGUGGGGGAACCCAUAGGAAGGGGGGACGACCCAUCGAAUUCACAUCAGAAAUUGCCAACAUGAACACAAAAAAAAUCUUGAAUUGCGUAUAGAAACAAAAUGAACCACUUCUAUUGUCGGAGCUGAGGUAUAUGAAGAAUGGCUUUUGGUCCCUUUAGUCCAGUGGUUAGGACAUCGUCUUUUCAUGUCGAAGACACGGGUUCGAUUCCCGUAAGGGAUAGGUACUCAUUCCCUGUCGCUUUCAGUUAGUGUUGAUUGCUGAGUGAUCGCUCGCUAUCUGGCUGGAAAAGGUGGUCUGGAAGCUUCCCUUCUCCCAGCACGUAAGACGAGAUCACCACUUCUCUCAAUAAUGGACUUCCUUGAAUUAUUUCUUAGCCUUAGAUGUCCUUUAAUAGGUUAUCAAACCUCCAAGAGACAGAAUCUCCAUGCAUGCGUUCUUUCUCUCCUCCCUUCCCUAAUACCUAAUACAUAGUUCCGUCUAUGGAGCCUAAAGCUUAAACCAUGGUAGUAAGAAGUAAGUUGUCCUAGUCUCUCGCCUAGCUUUUGCCUUCUUUAGUGGCCAAGUUGAAGCGUUCAACGGUUCUUCGGCCUACCGCCUUUCUUUUUUUUUCAAGGUUGAGCUUAUUCAAUUGAAGCUAAUGCUAUGCUGCCCUUCCCUUGUUCAAGAGAAAGCGUGGACUUUCUUUUCCUUUUUUUUUAGUUACUGACCUAAAGAAAAGAGAUUAACCUCUUGAUCGAUCGAUUGAUUGGAUCGAAGUACGAAGGGGUUGAUUGAUGUAUGAUAUCAGCCCAAGACUAAGGCCGAGCAACUAGCUGCUGCAAGAUUGGACGUCUAUCUAUCUCACCAUGCCCCCUACUCCUAUAAGGGCCGGUGAAAGGAAUGCUCUGCUCAUAUUUCUUACGGCUCGUUACCGCAGCGCUCAUUCGCCCCUUCGGCUUUUUCAAUUAAAAAAAAGGGUAGUGCCUUUUUCAUGGUAAAUAGCGUCUUAAAGCAAAUGCAUUAUUAAACGAAAGAGAUGUCGGGUCGGCCAAUUGCAUUAGGUAGGAGAUGCAGGACCUGUCUUAACCGCAAGUGCAUUCGCUAUUCGAUUCCAUCCUCAAUCCCACAAAAUUAUUAUUCCAAAGUUUGUAUCUCUUCUUUACUUUUAAAUGAAAAGGGGGGAACGAUAUACUUUAUUCUCUAUGUCACUGUCUCAUCAAUGAGCGUAGAUUGAUAGAGAUGGCUUUUGUUCUAGUCAAUCUAUAUCCCAUUCUUCAGGUAUAGUUUUGUUUGAUCAUAGAUCGACAGGUGACCCGUCCUUUCUCCCCCUUUCGUCAUAAGGCGUGAUCUAACUCUGAGAAAAACCAUUCCUAUGUUUAAGUCCCUACUAAGCAGAAUUCGUAAACUAUGCAAGGGCUAUUUUAAGACUUUUUAAGAAUUUUUAACAAUAAAAGCAAAAACAAUUCUCAACGCCCUUACGAGGUACUGAUGAGUUAAACUACUCGUGUUGGCAUGGAAGUCAGCCCGGUAAACUGAUUCCAUUAUUCUAUUAGGGUUCCAAACCUUCCCCUUAGCUCUAGAAAGACGUUUCCUUUUCAAUAGAUGCUAAAGCUAUUUAUAGUUGCAUAAGUCAGAAAGAGGGCUUUGGGCAAAGAGCAAC